CCUACGGGUGGCAGCAGUGGGGAAUAUUGCACAAUGGGGGAAACCCUGAUGCAGCGACGCCGCGUGAGUGAAGAAGUAAUUCGUUACGUAAAGCUCUAUCAGCAGGGAAGAAAAUGACGGUACCUGAGUAAGAAGCCCCGGCUAACUACGUGCCAGCAGCCGCGGUAAUACGUAGGGGGCAAGCGUUAUCCGGAUUUACUGGGUGUAAAGGGAGCGUAGACGGGGCGCCAAGUCUGGUGUGAAAACCCGGGGCCCAACCCCGGGCCUGCAUUGGAAACUGGCGGGCUGGAGUGUCGGAGGGGCAGGCGGAAUGCCUAGUGUAGCGGUGAAAUGCGUAGAUAUUAGGAGGAACACCGGUGGCGAAGGCGGCCUGCUGGACGAUGACUGACGCUGAGGCUCGAAAGCGUGGGGAGCAAACAGGAUUAGAUACCCUAGUAGUC
rnacentral:rRNA from 1 species